AAGGCCCCUUCGGGGGCCGAGUAGAGUGGCGCACGGGUGAGUAACACGUAGGUAAUCUACCUCUGGGUGGGGAAUAACGACCGGAAACGGUCGCUAAUACCGCAUAAUGCAGCGGCACCACAUGGUGACAGUUGUUAAAGCGGGGGAUCGUAAGACCUCGCGCCUAGAGAUGAGCCUGCGGCGGAUUAGCUAGUUGGCAGGGUAACGGCCUACCAAGGCGACGAUCCGUAGCCGGCCUGAGAGGGCGGACGGCCACACUGGCACUGACAUACGGGCCAGACUCCUACGGGAGGCAGCAGUCGGGAAUUUUGGGCAAUGGGCGAAAGCCUGACCCAGCAACGCCGCGUGAAGGAUGAAGCUUUUCGGAGUGUAAACUUCAUAAGAAUGGGACGAAUAAGGAGGGGUUAACACCCCCUUUGAUGACGGUACCAUUUGUAAGCUCCGGCUAACUCCGUGCCAGCAGCCGCGGUAAUACGGGGGGAGCAAGCGUUGUUCGGAUUUACUGGGCGUAAAGGGCGCGUAGGCGGCGCAACAAGUCACUUGUGAAAUCUCCGGGCUUAACCCGGAGCGGCCAAGUGAUACUGUCGUGCUAGAGUGCGGAAGGGGCUACUGGAAUUCUCGGUGUAGCGGUGAAAUGCGUAGAUAUCGAGAGGAACACCUGCGGCGAAGGCGGGUAGCUGGGCCGACACUGACGCUGAGGCGCGAAAGCCAGGGGAGCGAACGGGAUUAGAUACCCCGGUAGUCCUGGCCUUAAACGAUGGAUGCUUGGUGUCCGGGGUUACAUAG
rnacentral:rRNA from 1 species